rnacentral:rRNA from 2 species
ACAACUUUCAACAACGGAUCUCUUGGUUCUGGCAUCGAUGAAGAACGCAGCGAAAUGCGAUAAGUAGUGUGAAUUGCAGAAUUCAGUGAAUCAUCGAAUCUUUGAACGCACAUUGCGCCCUUUGGUAUUCCAAAGGGCAUGCUUGUUCGAGCGUCAUU